rnacentral:rRNA from 1 species
GAGUUUGAUCUUGGCUCAGGAUGAACGCUGGCGGCGUGCUUAACACAUGCAAGUCGAACGGGGAUGCAUUAAGAAGGAGUGCUUGCAUUCCGGAAGGAUGUAUCUUAGUGGCGGACGGGUGAGUAACGCGUGGGGUAACCUGCCCCAUACCGGGGGAUACCACCUGGAAACAGGUGCUAAUACCGCAUAAGCGCACGGGAGCGCAUGCUCCUGUGUGAAAAACUCCGGUGGUAUGGGAUGGACCCGCGUCUGAUUAGCCAGUUGGCAGGGUAACGGCCUACCAAAGCGACGAUCAGUAGCCGGCCUGAGAGGGUGGACGGCCACAUUGGGACUGAGACACGGCCCAAACUCCUACGGGAGGCAGCAGUGGGGAAUAUUGCACAAUGGGGGAAACCCUGAUGCAGCGACGCCGCGUGAGUGAAGAAGUAUUUCGGUAUGUAAAGCUCUAUCAGCAGGAACGAGACAAGACGGUACCUGACUAAGAAGCCCCGGCUAACUACGUGCCAGCAGCCGCCGCAACG